rnacentral:tRNA from 1 species
GGCUCCAUCGUCUAACGGCUAGGACAUUGCCCUCUCACGGCGAAAAUAGGGGUUCGAUUCCCCUUGGAGCUACCA